GUGACCUCAAAUCAGGUAGGACUACCCGCUGAACUUAAGCAUAUCAAUAAGCGGAGGAAAAGAAACUAACAAGGAUUCCCCUAGUAACUGCGAGUGAAGCGGGAAAAGCUCAAAUUUAAAAUCUGUCAGUCUUUGGCUGUCCGAGUUGUAAUCUAGAGAAGUGUUAUCCGCGCUGGACCGUGUACAAGUCUCCUGGAAUGGAGCGUCAUAGAGGGUGAGAAUCCCGUCUUUGACACGGACUGCCAGGGCUUUGUGAUGCGCUCUCAAAGAGUCGAGUUGUUUGGGAAUGCAGCUCAAAAUGGGUGGUAAAUUCCAUCUAAAGCUAAAUAUUGGCGAGAGACCGAUAGCGAACAAGUACCGUGAGGGAAAGAUGAAAAGAACUUUGGAAAGAGAGUUAAACAGUACGUGAAAUUGCUGAAAGGGAAACGCUUGAAGUCAGUCGCGUUAGCCAGGGAUCAACCCUUGCUUUUGCUUGGUGUACUUUCUGGUUGACGGGUCAGCAUCAAUUUUGACUGUUGGAAAAAGAUUAAGGGAAUGUGGCAUCUUCGGAUGUGUUAUAGCCCUUGGUUGCAUACAAUGGUUGGGAUUGAGGAACUCAGCACGCCGCAAGGCCGGGUUUUAACCACGUACGUGCUAGGAUG
rnacentral:rRNA from 1 species